UACGGGGGGAGCAAGCGUUGUUCGGAUUUACUGGGCGUAAAGGGCGCGUAGGCGGCGCAACAAGUCACUUGUGAAAUCUCCGGGCUUAACUCGGAGCGGCCAAGUGAUACUGUCGUGCUAGAGUGCGGAAGGGGCAACUGGAAUUCUCGGUGUAGCGGUGAAAUGCGUAGAUAUCGGGAGGAACACCAAUGGCGAAGGCAGCUCGCUGGGACGUUACUGACGCUGAGACGCGAAAGCGUGGGGAGCAAACAGG
rnacentral:rRNA from 1 species